rnacentral:snoRNA from 1 species
GAAAGUUUGACGACACUCUGGUGCCUAAUUUUACUCCCGUACUGGGUUCCUAUUUGGUUCAAACAAGAUAAAUUGAUGCUUUGCUCGUUAGUUUGAUGAUCUCUACCUUUCUUCAUACUGAGCAAUGGUGUCAGACAUUUCUU